rnacentral:rRNA from 1 species
AUUGAACGCUGGCGGCAUGCCUUACACAUGCAAGUCGAACGGUAACAGGUUAAGCUGACGAGUGGCGAACGGGUGAGUAAUAUAUCGGAACGUGCCCAGUCGUGGGGGAUAACGUAGCGAAAGCUACGCUAAUACCGCAUACGAUCUACGGAUGAAAGCGGGGGAUCGCAAGACCUCGCGCGAUUGGAGCGGCCGAUAUCAGAUUAGGUUGUUGGUGAGGUAAAAGCUCACCAAGCCUGCGAUCUGUAGCUGGUCUGAGAGGACAACCAGCCACACUGGAACUGAGACACGGUCCAGACUCCUACGGGAGGCAGCAGUGGGGAAUUUUGGACAAUGGACGCAAGUCUGAUCCAGCAGUGCCGCGUGCAGGGCGAAGGCCUUCGGGUUGUAAACUGCUUUUGUACGGAACGAAACGGUGAGCUCUAAUACAGUUUGCUAAUGACGGUACCGUAAGAAUAAGCACCGGCUAACUACGUGCCAGCCGCCGCCGUAA